UACAGAGGUCUCAAGCGUUGUUCGGAUUCAUUGGGCGUAAAGGGUGCGUAGGCGGCGCGGUAAGUCGGGUGUGAAAUCUCGGAGCUUAACUCCGAAACUGCAUUCGAUACUGCCGUGCUUGAGGACUGGAGAGGAGACUGGAAUUUACGGUGUAGCGGUGAAAUGCGUAGAUAUCUGGAGGAACACCGGUGGCGAAGGCGGCAUCCUGGACCACGACUGACACUGAAAAGCGAAAGCGUGGGGAGCAAACAGG
rnacentral:rRNA from 1 species